UAGCUAGUUGGUGAGGUAACGGCCCACCAAGGCGACGAUCGGUAGCCGGACUGAGAGGUUGAACGGCCACAUUGGGACUGAGACAUGGCCCAGACUCCUACGGGAGGCAGCAGUGGGGAAUAUUGCACAAUGGGGGAAACCCUGAUGCAGCGACGCCGCGUGGAGGAAGAAGGUCUUCGGAUUGUAAACUCCUGUUGUUGAGGAAGAUAAUGACGGUACUCAACAAGGAAGUGACGGCUAACUACGUGCCAGCAGCCGCGGUAAAACGUAGGUCACAAGCGUUGUCCGGAAUUACUGGGUGUAAAGGGAGCGCAGGCGGGAAGACAAGUUGGAAGUGAAAUCCAUGGGCUCAACCCAUGAACUGCUUUCAAAACUGUUUUUCUUGAGUAGUGCAGAGGUAGGCGGAAUUCCCGGUGUAGCGGUGGAAUGCGUAGAUAUCGGGAGGAACACCAGUGGCGAAGGCGGCCUACUGGGCACCAACUGACGCUGAGGCUCGAAAGUGUGGGUAGCAAACAGGAUUAGAUACCCUGGUAGUCCACACUGUAAACGAUGAUUACUAGGUGUUGGAGGAUUGACCCCUUCAGUGCCGCAGUUAACACAAUAAGUAAUCCACCUGGGGAGUACGACCGCAAGGUUGAAACUCAAAGGAAUUGACGGGGGCCCGCACAAGCAGUGGAGUAUGUGGUUUAAUUCGACGCAACGCGAAGAACCUUACCAAGUCUUGACAUCCUGCGACGCACAUAGAAAUAUGUGUUUCCUUCGGGACGCAGAGACAGGUGGUGCAUGGUUGUCGUCAGCUCGUGUCGUGAGAUGUUGGGUUAAGUCCCGCAACGAGCGCAACCCUUAUGGUCAGUUACUACGCAAGAGGACUCUGGCCAGACUGCCGUUGACAAAACGGAGGAAGGUGGGGAUGACGUCAAAUCAUCAUGCCCUUUAUGACUUGGGCUACACACGUACUACAAUGGCGUUAAACAAAGAGAAGCAAGACCGCGAGGUGGAGCAAAACUCAGAAACAACGUCCCAGUUCGGACUGCAGGCUGCAACUCGCCUGCACGAAGUCGGAAUUGCUAGUAAUCGCAGAUCAGCAUGCUGCGGUGAAUACGUUCCCGGGCCUUGUACACACCGCCCGUCACACCAUGAGAGCCGGGGGGACCCGAAGUCGGUAGUCUAACCGCAAGGAGGACGCCGCCGAAGGUAAAACUGGUGAUUGGGGUGAAGUCGUAACAAGGUAA
rnacentral:rRNA from 1 species